UCGCCCUUUGACAGYAGUCGNGGUAAUACGGAGGAUGCMAGCGUUAUCCCGGAAUCAUBGGGUUUAAAGGGUYCGUANGCGGCCAAAUAAGUCAGUGGUGAAUAGCCGNGUGCUCAACGGGGGAACGGCCAUUGGAUACUGUUUGGCUUUGAAUUAUUAGGGAAG
rnacentral:rRNA from 1 species